rnacentral:rRNA from 1 species
AACGAACGCUGGCGGCAGGCCUAACACAUGCAAGUCGAGCGAAGCCUUCGGGCUUAGCGGCGGACGGGUGAGUAACGCGUGGGAACGUGCCCUUUGGUACGGAAUAGCCCCGGGAAACUGGGAGUAAUACCGUAUGUGGUCGAGAGACGAAAGAUUUAUCGCCAAAGGAACGGCCCGCGUUGGAUUAGGUAGUUGGUGGGGUAAUGGCCUACCAAGCCGACGAUCCACAGCUGGUUUGAGAGGAUGAUCAGCCACACUGGGACUGAGACACGGCCCAGACUCCUACGGGAGGCAGCAGUGGGGAAUCUUAGACAAUGGGGGAAACCCUGAUCUAGCCAUGCCGCGUGAUCGAUGAAGGCCUUAGGGUUGUAAAGAUCUUUCAGUGGGGAAGAUAAUGACUGUACCCACAGAAGAAGCCCCGGCUAACUCCGUGCCAGCCGCCGCAGUAAUAC